GGGGCAUUAGCUCAGCUUGGUUUAGAGCAUCCGGCUCAUAACCGGAUGGUCAUCGGUUCAAAUCCGAUAUGCCCCACCA
rnacentral:tRNA from 1 species